CAUUGGGAAUGAAAUAUCCCAAGUAGAGAACUCUACCAGCAGUCGAGAAUAUUAGUCAAUGCUCGCAAGAGUGAACUAGCUAACUGGAAUCAUGAGUGUGUCACUCGUGAAUGUAAAAGGAAAAAUAAUGAUGUCACUUUUACAAAUAGUGUUGUCCAAACCUGGUGCCAGAAGACUCGGUAAGGCCAGAGACGCAAGCGUUAAUCAUCCUGAUCAGGCGUAAAGGGUUUGUAGGCAGCUUUAAUUAAAUUAAAGAUUGAAUCAAAUAGAGGUCAAGAGAAUUCUCAGAUUAGGGUUGAUAUCUGCAUAAACUGAGAAGAAUUCUAAUUAGCGAAGGCACUUUACUAUCUAAUGAUUGACGCUGAGAAACGAAGGGGAGGAUCGAAAACAGGAUUAGAUACCCUACUAUCCCUCUCUGUAAACGAUGAAUGGUAGUUGCUAGUAAUAAUAAUUAGUGACGAUGCUAACGCGUUAACCAUUCCGCCUUGUGAGUACGACUGCAAAGUUGAAAACAAAAAAAUUAGUCGGUUUCGGAGCAA
rnacentral:rRNA from 1 species